rnacentral:misc_RNA from 1 species
UAUCUCUCCUAGUUCAAUAUUUGUUUAUUGGAAUAGGGACUUGGGGUCUUUCUCGUCGGAAAUUAACUCGUUUAAUACCCGGUGAACCCUUUAAAUAUAGCAAGCUCCCAUCUUUUAUCGGAAAUACGCAAACUUGGGGAUGGCGUCGUAGCAAUCACUCUUAUCAGUAUUGUCGAAGCGCCUAUAUCAUACCUCUAAUCUGCGGUGCUAAUCCUUUUUCAGUGGGCGAAGCUUGGCGACUGGCAAAGUGCCAUGCUCCCUUUCUUGGAGUACACGAACAA